rnacentral:rRNA from 1 species
UGGGGAAUAUUGGACAAUGGGCGAAAGCCUGAUCCAGCCAUGCCGCGUGUGUGAAGAAGGUCUUCGGAUUGUAAAGCACUUUAAGUUGGGAGGAAGGGCAGUAAGCUAAUACCUUGCUGUUUUGACGUUACCGACAGAAUAAGCACCGGCUAACUUCGUGCCAGCAGCCGCGGUAAUACGAAGGGUGCAAGCGUUAAUCGGAAUUACUGGGCGUAAAGCGCGCGUAGGUGGUUCGUUAAGUUGGAUGUGAAAGCCCCGGGCUCAACCUGGGAACUGCAUCCAAAACUGGCGAGCUAGAGUACGGUAGAGGGUGGUGGAAUUUCCUGUGUAGCGGUGAAAUGCGUAGAUAUAGGAAGGAACACCAGUGGCGAAGGCGACCACCUGGACUGAUACUGACACUGAGGUGCGAAAAGCGUGGGGAGCAAAACAGGAUUUAGAUACCCUGGUAGUCCACGCCGUAAACGUGUCAACUAGCCGUUGGGUUCCUUGAGAGCUUAGUGGCGCAGCUAACGCAUUAAGUUGACCGCCUGGGGAGUACGGCCGCAAGGUUAAAACUUAAAUGAAUUGACGGGGGUCAUAGCUGUUUCCUG